CUUGGCAUGCCAUGACAGUUGUAACAGUUGGCGUUGGCUUUGGAGGAGGCGAGACGCGUUGGACCAAGCUGCCUUGAGGAAGAGGUUUCUUAGCUAAACUUCCACAACUACCAAAGACCAUCUCUGUGGCCAUUGAGGAUACAAGAAUCACUAAAGCUCAUUUAAAGAUGGCUCAACCUAGAAAGAAUCGGACGCCUGUCAAGCGUCAGACUCAUGGCCGACGGAUGACAAGCAGAUCUCCUAUACAAACACCUUCUAAGCAACGCAGACCUGUCUCCUACAUCUUCCGCUUUAGGAAGGUCCGCACAGGUCUUCGCCCCAAGUUUAGAAUGUCCACCAAAGCUCGGAGUGCCAUGUCCUCAUUUGUUAAAAACCUGUGUGACAAGAUGAUAAUUGAAGCAGGAAAACGAAUGCAACGAGAACACAGAAAGACAAUAUUAUCAAAGGAUAUCAAGAGUGCCAUAAGCGUUCUGAUGCCCAGAACCCUGACCAAGCAUGCCUUAUCGAAGGGCAACAAAGUGGGCAAUUACAACCUGAGAAAGCCACAUUAAAAGGCAUCACACAGCACCAGAAAAUGAUAUGUAACUCAAUAAAUAUAUUACAAUCGA